rnacentral:rRNA from 1 species
CCGGCACGGGUGAGUAACACGUAUCCAACUUGCCGUCUACUCUUGGACAGCCUUCUGAAAGGAAGAUUAAUACAAGAUGGCAUCAUGAGUUCACAUGUUCACAUGAUUAAAGGUAUUCCGGUAGACGAUGGGGAUGCGUUCCAUUAGAUAGUAGGCGGGGUAACGGCCCACCUAGUCUUCGAUGGAUGGGGGUUCUGAGAGGAAGGUCCCCCACAUUGGAACUGAGACACGGUCCAA